CCUGCAGCAAUCGGAGGGGAAAAACAACCAAUCAACCACAAACAGCAAACAUAUAAUAUCGCUUCGCACGUGUACCUCCAGACUUCUUCUACUUGUCCAGUUCUAUUCCGCCCCAACAAUCUACUAUUCAUUGAACAUUUUGAGACUUUGCACUUUUAGAUGGAGGCUUUUCCAGAAGAAAUAUACAGAAGGCAUGGCAGUAUCAACCCUCCUCUCCCUCCCUCCAUCCAUCAUUAAAAAAAAUGUGAUUUAAGUUACAAAAUCAAGCACUUGAAAGCUAGGAAGUCCCAGAUUCAUGGUUGCCUGUGCAACCAAUCUGUGCACUGAAAAUAAGGCAGGAGUCCUAUAGAAAAAAUAGCAAAGUGAUAUCGUUCUUCGACUAUGAGAAAGGGACCAAGAGACUUUCUCCAUUGGAUCAUAUGAACUGGAACCAUAAACUCCCUGAACAGUAAAUUUCACCAAAUGAAGGGAUAAGCCUGGAUCAUCCCCCCCCGGAGAAGGGAAGCAGCUGAUAGUCCAACUUCACAUGUUCUUAGGCAGAAAACACAAACCAAUGAAAGAAAUGUUCCAGUCUCUUCCUGAACUGUAUUUAUUGUGUGUGUAUUUAUGGUUGAAUUUUAAUCCUGAGAUGAUCUCACACAAUGCGAUAGGGGGAGGAGGAGGAGAGAAAGACGUCAGUGUUUUCCCCCUGAAAAGUGUGCGUAUGGGAGGGAACCAAAAAGGCAGUCAAAAAAGCAACACGAUUUAUUGCUUUGGGGGUUUUUUAAUACUAAUCUUUUAAACCAAUCCAAGUUUUAAACAUCUGGGACUGGCAAUAGUGGAGUUCACAUUAACAGAGCUUGGCUUUCAACAAACCAAACCAGAACUGAGAAGUUUGUAAUGAAACUCAAAUCCCAUGAGAGCUUCAUGAUGAAAGUUUUGCCCACCUCUAAUUCAAGUUGCACACAAAAAUAGCUUGGGAGCAAUCUCCACUACAUGCAGCUUACUUCAGAUCAGUGUUUCUCAAAUGCGGCCACCAGGGGCUUUCCUUGUGGCUACAGCCUCCUGGUUGGUGGGGGCGGGGGUGCAAAGCAGAGGCCCCUCCCCUGAGGCUACCAGCAGUGGUUGGGCCCUGCUCCCCUCUGGAGACACGAACACUGGAGGAGCAGGCAGGGAGUGAGUUCCCCACCUUCCUGAGG